rnacentral:rRNA from 1 species
AGAGUUUGAUCCUGGCUCAGGAUGAACGCUAGCGGCAGGCCUAAUACAUGCAAGUCGAACGGGACUGAGUAGCAAUACUUAGUCUAGUGGCGCACGGGUGCGUAACGCGUAUGCAACCUACCUUUUAUUGGGGGAUAGCCCGUCGAAAGACGGAUUAAUACCGCAUAAUAUCCUUUGAUGGCAUCUGAAGAGGAUUAAAGCUACGGCGAUAGAAGAUGGGCAUGCGUGACAUUAGCUAGUUGGUUGAGGUAACGGCUCACCAAGGCUACGAUGUCUAGGGGUUCUGAGAGGAUGAUCCCCCACACUGGUACUGAGAUACGGACCAGACUCCUACGGGAGGCAGCAGUAGGGAAUAUUGGGCAAUGGACGCAAGUCUGACCCAGCCAUGCCGCGUGCAGGAUGAAGGCCUUCUGGGUUGUAAACUGCUUUUACCAGGGAAGAAAAAACUCAUGCGUGAGGAACUGACGGUACCUGGUGAAUAAGCACCGGCUAACUCCGUGCCAGCAGCCGCGGUAAUACGGAGGGUGCAAGCGUUGUCCGGAUUUAUUGGGUUUAAAGGGUGCGUAGGCGGCCUGUUAAGUCCGUGGUGAAAGCCAACAGCUCAACUGUUGAACUGCCAUGGAUACUGACAGGCUUGAGUACAGACGAGGUUGGCGGAAUUGAUGCUGUAGCGGUGAAAUGCAUAGAUAGCAUCAAGAACACCGAUUGCGUAGGCAGCUAACUAGGCUGUAACUGACGCUGAGGCACGAAAGCGUGGGGAGCGAACAGGAUUAGAUACCCCCGUAGUCC